CACCGCCUCUGGACCAUGGACCCCCGCAAAGUGAGCGAGCUUCGGGCCUUCGUGAAAAUGUGUAAGCAGGAUCCGAGCGUUCUGCACACCGAGGAAAUGCGCUUCCUGCAGGAGUGGGUGGAGAGCAUGGGGGGUAAAAUACCACCUGCCACUCAUAAAACUAAAUCAGAAGACAAUAUCAAGGAAGAAAAAACAGAUAGUAAGAAGGCGGAGGAAAACAUAAAGACAGACGAACCAUCAAGUGAGGAAAGUGAUCUAGAAAUUGACAAUGAAGGUGUGAUUGAACCAGAUACUGAUGCCCCUCAAGAAAUGGGAGAUGAAAAUGUAGAGAUAACUGAGGAAAUGAUGGAUCAGGCAAAUGAUAAAAAAAGUGGCUGCCAUUGAUGCCCUAAAUGAUGGCGAACUACAGAAAGCCAUUGACUUGUUCACAGAUGCCAUCAAACUGAAUCCUCGCUUGGCCAUUCUCUAUGCCAAGAGAGCCAGUGUCUUCAUCAAAUUACAGAAGCCAAAUGCUGCCAUUCGAGACUGUGACAGAGCUAUUGAAAUAAAUCCUGAUUCAGCUCAGCCUUAAAAGUGGCGAGGGAAAGCACACAGACUUCUGGGCCAUUGGGAAGAAGCAGCACAUGAUCUUGCCCUUGCUUGUAAACUGGAUUACGAUGAAGAUGCUAGUGCAAUGCUGAAAGAAGUUCAACCGAGGGCCCAGAAAAUUGCUGAACAUCAGAGAAAGUAUGAGCGAAAACGUGAAGAACGAGAGAUCAAAGAAAGAAUAGAAAGGGUUAAGAAGGCUCGGGAAGAACAUGAGAGAGCCCAGAGGGAGGAAGAAGCCAGACAACAAUCAGGAGCUCAGUAUGGCUCUUUCCCAGGUGGCUUUCCUGGGGGAAUGCCUGGUAAUUUUCCUGGAGGAAUGCCUGGAAUGGCAGGGGGGAUGCCUGGAAUGGCAGGAAUGCCUGGGCUCAAUGAAAUUCUUAGUGAUCCAGAGGUUCUCGCAGCCAUGCAGGAUCCAGAAGUUAUGGUGGCCUUCCAGGAUGUGGCCCAGAACCCAGCGAAUAUGUCAAAAUAUCAGAGCAAUCCAAAGGUUAUGAAUCUCAUCAGUAAAUUGUCAGCCAAAUUUGGAGGUCAAGCAUAACGCCCUUCUGACAAAUAAAGCCCUUGCUGAAGGAAAAGCAACGAUCGCCUAAUGGAUGUCGCAAUAAUACAAACCAGUGUACCUCUGACCUUCUCAUGAAGAAAGCUGGGGUGCUGUGAAGAGAAUCCCUACCCCUCUGCCCCACAUGCAACUGAAACAUUCUAUAGUGGUUUGCCAUUAGGGUAUUCAUUCAGAUAAUGUUUUCCUACUAGGAAUUACAAACUUUAAACACUUUUUAAACCGUAAAAAUAUUUAAAAACAUAUUAAAAGGGUGUGUUAGUCCCUAAAAAAAAAAAA